rnacentral:rRNA from 1 species
CCUACGGGAGGCUGCAGUAAGGAAUAUUGGUCAAUGGACGCAAGUCUGAACCAGCCAUGCCGCGUGGAGGAUGAAGGUCCUCUGGAUUGUAAACUUCUUUUAUUUGGGAAGAAACUCCCGAUUUCCAUCGGGAUUGACGGUACCAGAUGAAUAAGCACCGGCUAACUCCGUGCCAGCAGCCGCGGUAAUACGGAGGGUGCAGGAUUUAUCCGGAUGCACUGGGUCGAAGGUGGGCAUGGAAGGGAGUGGUGAAAUCUCCGGGCUGAACCCGGAAACUGCCAUUGAUACUAUUUGUCUUGAAUACUCUGGAGGUGAGCGGAAUAUGUCAUGUAGCGGUGAAAUGCUUAGAUAUGACAUAGAACACCCAUUGCGAAGGCAGCUCACUACGGAAAUAUUGACGCUGAGGCACGAAAGCGUGGGGAUCAAACAGGAUUAGAUACCCUAGUAGUC